rnacentral:rRNA from 1 species
AGAGUUUGAUCAUGGCUCAGAACGAACGCUGGCGGCGUGCUUAACACAUGCAAGUCGAGUGCGCGCCCCGAUAGCAAUAUCGGGGUGGCGCACGGCGCACGGGUGCGUAACACGUGGGCAAUCUGCCCUCCGAUGGGGAAUAACUCCGGGAAACCGAAGCUAAUUCCGCAUAACAUUCCCUGGACUCCGGUUCGGGGAUU